UACUCAUUGGACCAGACACAAGAAUAUAGUGAUGAAGAGAAUAUUUUUUUAUGACCCUUACUUUCUACUGAAGGAAGUUGAAAAUAACAAAGAUAAACAGAACUCCCCUGGUGAUGAAAACUGAAGAAAAAUCCAUCACUGAGGCACUCAAAGUUUAUAAUCCUUACCAGUGACCUUUCCAUGAACCCAAAUUUAAGGACGUUUUUAAAAGAGUGUCAAAAUCUGCCCAGAGCGCUGUCCAGCCCUGGGACAACUCCUGCUGAGGCAGAAGAAAGGGAAACCCUCCUGCUGGUCUUUGAAGAAGCCGCUGGACAGACUGAGCCACAACCACAGUCCUUUGAGAAGAGUCCACUUCCUCUGGCACCAGCGAAUGAACCAGGACUUCAGGCUGCCAUACACACCGUCCUCACUGUUCCUGCCAAUCUUGUGUUUGGGGGAUGACCGGCCGUUUAAAACACACAGUGCAUUCUUACCACGGAGCAUCAGCUUCUUCCUUCAAGUCUUCCCCUGCCCGUUGCAAGUUUUGAAUAGAUUCCAGUGUUCUCAAAUUCAAUUCUAACACUUUUUGCCAGCUCAUUAAUUAUUGUUGGGGAGGAACAGAGCUCUAGAAUUACU